AGGGAGAGAGAGAGAGAGAGAGAGAGAGAGAGAGCAGCAACAGCAGCAGCCUUCAGUCCUGCGUGGCAUGGAAUUACAGCUAGCGCCAUUCGCAAGAAGCACAGGAAACAGAGAACACCGGAUCGGAGGAGGAUUGACAGAGUGAGGGAGAGAGAGAGAAAAGCGUUCAGCGCAGCAGACUCGGUGUGAAAUAACCGCGACGGGGCUCAGCUACAGAGAGGACAGACAUGGGUGCAGCCAAGGUGAAGCUAUAGAGAAGAUAAUAUUUCAUCUGUGGACUUAGUCUCACAAAAGCUGUCCAGUGAUGACGGAUCACUCCUCUCUUGUUGUCUACCCGGAGGCUUUUUCCUGCUCCAUCCAGGGCUGUGAGCCGACCCCGAGGUGCUGCCCUUCUGCGCCAUAACCCCUAUAGCGCUCUCAGAAUACCUCAAAACCCCCUGCAGGAUCUCCCACAAUCCACCUGGUUUUCCAGCUGCAAGGAAGUUCUCCCACAGGCCCUGUCGCAGUGAAUUAGCCAUUCCAGACAGGAUUGGUGGCUUUGAAAUCCGGUGUCCAGGGAGACAGAGGGAAAACAAACAAAUUCAUAGAUACCCAACUGGGAUUUGCGGAUAUUCUUGUGUUUGCUGUUGUCGUUGUGGUUUUUCUGCCUGAGUGUUUGCUGACAGAACCAGCCAACCAUUUGGCAUUCCCAACCAGGAUUCCUUUGUGAUGAGGUUCAACCUGGGAGCGGGUUCGAAAUGGAAGAUUCCAAACUUACCCAGUGGACAUCUUGGAGCGAUAUAACAACCUCCUUCUCGGUGCCGGAUUUGCACAGGAAUGAAUGGAUGUAUGCCUGAUCGCUACCUGAAUUUUCCCUCCCUCCAACAGUUUUCCUCUUUUAAUAAUUGCAUUUUGUUCCCCUUGUCUCUCUCAUGCUCCACAUCUGGUGUUCUCUAAUUUGUAUGAAAAAAGGAAUCUCAUAUCAGACCCAGUCUGUUUUUUUUUCUCUCUCCUUCAACCCACCUCACCUAAUAUGAAAGCCCCGAAACAUAUUAAAAGAGCAUCAAGGAGAAGAGGGGGAAAGAUCUGAGAGAUAGAUAGAGUGAACCAGAGAAAGACUGAAAGAAACGAGGAUAGGGAGAGAGGGACUUUCUUGAUAAGCUCCCUCCUUCUUUUCACAUUGAGAAGAGUGGAAUUUUCAGAGGGAGACGGGAAAGAAAAAAAAAGAUGAAGAGGUAGACUGUGAAUGGAGAGAUACGAAGAAUAGCAAGAGAAAAAAAAGAGGUCUGGAGACGACGAGCCCUCAUUUUAAGACAUUCAUUGACUGGGUUACCGUCACUCUGCAGCACCGUGCUACCACUGAACUGGGAGAUAGAGUGAGAGGAAGAAAGGAAGAGAAAAACACAGAGAGAAUAGCUUUAAACGAUUCGGCUGCCCUGCAGUCAGGGGGACAAUUAGGAGGAUUUGAUUAUAUGCCUUAAUUUCCCCAAUCAGGUGCCAGACCAGUGGCAGACAAAUAACUCACAAGACAGACAGAGAGAGUUAGAGAGAAAGAGAAA